rnacentral:rRNA from 1 species
GGCCUACCGUGGCUAUGACGGGUAACGGGGAAUUAGGGUUCGAUUCCGGAGAGGGAGCCUGAGAAACGGCUACCACAUCUAAGGAAGGCAGCAGGCGCGCAAAUUACCCAAUCCUAAUACAGGGAGGUAGUGACAAGAAAUAACAAUACAGAACCUUACGGUUUUGUAAUUGGAAUGAGUUAAGUAUAAACCCCUUAACAAGUAUCAAUUGGAGGGCAAGUCUGGUGCCAGCAGCCGCGGUAAUUCCAGCUCCAAUAGCGUAUAUUAAAGUUGUUGCAGUUAAAAAGCUCGUAGUUAAUCUUCUGUUAAUUUUUAUAUAUAAUAUCACGAUAUUUAUAUAAUAUUAACAUAAUUCAUAUUACUUUUUAGUAUAUGAAACUUUACUUUGAGAAAAUUAGAGUGCUUAAAGCAGGCUAUUGCCUUGAAUACUCCAGCAUGGAAU